GACGAACGCUGGCGGCGUGCCUAAUACAUGCAAGUAGAACGCUGAAGGAGGAGCUUGCUUCUCUGGAUGAGUUGCGAACGGGUGAGUAACGCGUAGGUAACCUGCCUGGUAGCGGGGGAUAACUAUUGGAAACGAUAGCUAAUACCGCAUAAGAGUAGAUGUUGCAUGACAUUUUCUUAAAAGGUGCAAUUGCAUCACUACCAGAUGGACCUGCGUUGUAUUAGCUAGUUGGUGGGGUAACGGCUUACCAAGGCGACGAUACAUAGCCGACCUGAGAGGGUGAUCGGCCACACUGGGACUGAGACACGGCCCAGACUCCUACGGGAGGCAGCAGUAGGGAAUCUUCGGCAAUGGACGGAAGUCUGACCGAGCAACGCCGCGUGAGUGAAGAAGGUUUUCGGAUCGUAAAGCUCUGUUGUAAGAGAAGAACGAGUGUGAGAGUGGAAAGUUCACACUGUGACGGUAUCUUACCAGAAAGGGACGGCUAACUACGUG
rnacentral:rRNA from 1 species